GCUCAGGAUGAACGCUGGCGGCGUGCUUAACACAUGCAAGUCGAACGGGAAAUACUUUAUUGAAACUUCGGUGGAUUUAAUUUAUUUCUAGUGGCGGACGGGUGAGUAACGCGUGGGUAACCUGCCUUAUACCGGGGGAUAACAGCCAGAAAUGGCUGCUAAUACCGCAUAAGCGCACAGAACCGCAUGGUUCCGUGUGAAAAACUCCGGUGGUAUAAGAUGGACCCGCGUUGGAUUAGCUAGUUGGCAGGGCAGCGGCCUACCAAGGCGACGAUCCAUAGCCGGCCUGAGAGGGUGAACGGCCACAUUGGGACUGAGACACGGCCCAGACUCCUACGGGAGGCAGCAGUA
rnacentral:rRNA from 1 species